AAGCCGUGUUCCUUGAGGCGACCUUCGUUCUCCUUCUCUCAUGGCUCGCCUUCUGCUUCUCGUCCGAUUUGGAAAGCUACGAGAUGGACGCACCGUAUGGCUUCAGAUCUGGCCGUGGAUUUGCCAAUCGGACACGUGCUUUGCCACCCUCCAUUGGCUUAUGGACCGAUUUCGGUUUGAUAUUCCGAGAAUCCUGGAUGUUCGGACGCCGAAGUAAGGUUUUCUACAAGAGAGAUGUGGUGUGGAGGGUACAUUAGUCAGAGUUUCCUGUUGAUGACGGAUGCGUUGGCGAGCAGUCUCCGUAAACGAUGGUUAGGGUUUCAGCUCCUGAGACAUCUAUGAAGAAGCAUGGUCGAGGCUGUGCUAAGGGCAUGAAGAAAUGGGGUAGUGGAGCCAAACUUUAGGUCAUGUUUGAUAAUGUCCGUGGUUUAUGACCUGACUUCUCUUUUAUUUUGUUGUACUUUGGUGCAGGUGUGUCUUGGACUUAACAAGAUCACUACGCAAGUAUGUUAGGCCGCUCGAGAUUGAGCAAAUGCUAAGCUUUGAGAUUGCACAAAGGCUCAAGGAAGUGAUUGAGCAGAGGCUCAUGAAACAGAUUGAGCGUAUGCUUAAUGGCUUAAUAAGAGGUUAAUGGCUCAUCUUGAGUGCAUGGGGGCUCAGACUGGACAGCUCUUAGUUUAAGCUUCUAAUGGGGUAUAGUGUACUAAAAUUAUCAGGUUUCUUCCUAAAUUAUGAUCAAGUCAUUACUCAAAAUAUCAAAUAUUGCAGGAUAAGUUUGACUUGUUAGGUGAUCCUAUUGAUGUUGAAAAUGCAGUAGCAAGGCAAUGUGGACGGAGGCUGAGCAAUCACAACUUCAUUGUGCACAAAAAAAAUACAAGAAACUUAGAGAAACGAGGGGGGGAAGAGUAUGCUAGAAACAACCCACCAGUGGACAAGCUUAAUAACUAAGAAGUGGGCUGUUCCAAUAUGACAGAGCAAGUGGAAGGAAAUGAAGUAGCAAACAAUAAGAUAGACGAGCUAGUAGAGGCAAAAGAGGAACAUGGGAGGACUUUGGAUAGUGUUUUGGCGUUUCUUAAACACCAAGGAUUUAUCGGUUAACGACUUGCUGGUUAGUACAUCAUGCUUUCUCUAUUUACAUUCAUCAUGAGAAAACUGGGCUGGAGUGGGCUAUAUAUUUUUGUUGGUUUGGUUUUCUGCCUUUUUUUGUGCCCUUUUUAAGCAUAUGUUUUCUAUUUAUAAAGAUUAUGAAAGUUUUUAUGUUCUCUGGUUUGAUGUUAACUAUCUCUACAUCCUAUAAGUCUGUCCAAAAUAGAUGGACAAACACAAAUAAUCAAUCAAGAAACAAAUAGUUUAUAUUGUAUUCCUCUUGCUUUGGUAUUGCUAUGUUGUUUGCUGCUGUGGUUUUCCUUCAAGAAACCCAAUGUUUGACACUGUCUAGCUUGGUUUAUGUUGUAGCUGAUAAUAAUGGAGUUUCUGGGCUAUUAUUGCUCUGGUUUUGGGCUCUUACUGCUCUGGUUUUGCUCUACUAUUACUGUCGUGGUAUAUCUUCAUCUAUAGAGAUUUGAUGUAGUUAUUGAUGCUAAUCAUGAGACUUUUCCAUCUGAUGUUGACAUGUGGUUUGGGGUCUGCUGAUCCGUUGUGUCCCAAAACAUGGGGGUUUCCACCUCUUUACGGCGGGGACACAACAUAUAUGGGGACACAACUCCUUAGGUGUAUAAAAUCUUGUAGCUUAACAUAACAAUCCUUUUAUUAUUCUACAUUCUGCUUUUAAAUACAGUAGGACUAUAAGUAUGGGCCUUAAUUUUUCAAACGCGCAUGGAUAAAGCUCCCACAAAUAUUUGCCAAUAAUAGCACAACUAUGCUUAGAAUCUGACUAUACCAUUGGAUCAAUUAAACAUGGUUGUUAGACAUACAGUUUACAGAUAGAAAGGCGACCAAGUUAU